GAUGAAGAACGCAGCGAAAUGCGAUAAGUAAUGUGAAUUGCAGAAUUCAGUGAAUCAUCGAAUCUUUGAACGCACAUUGCGCCCGCCAGUAUUCUGGCGGGCAUGCCUGUUCGAGCGUCAUUUCAACCAUCAAGCCCCAGGCUUGUGUUGGAGCCCUGCGGCUGCCGCAGCCUCCCAAAACCAGUGGCGGGCUCGCUAUCACACCGAGUGCAGUAGUUUACUCUUCGCUCAGGGCGUGUGGCGGGUGCUAGCCGUAAAACCCCCAACUUCUCAAGGUUGACCUCGGAUCAGGUAGGAAUACCAGCUGAACUUAAGCAUAUCAAUAAGCGGAGGA
rnacentral:misc_RNA from 1 species